rnacentral:rRNA from 1 species
AACGAACGCUGGCGGCAUGCCUAACACAUGCAAGUCGAACGAGACCUUCGGGUCUAGUGGCGCACGGGUGCGUAACGCGUGGGAACCUGCCUUUAGGUUCGGAAUAACUCAGAGAAAUUUGAGCUAAUACCGGAUAAUGUCUUCGGACCAAAGAUUUAUCGCCUUUAGAUGGGCCCGCGUAAGAUUAGCUAGUUGGUGGGGUAAAGGCCUACCAAGGCGACGAUCUUUAGCUGGUCUGAGAGGAUGAUCAGCCACACUGGGACUGAGACACGGCCCAGACUCCUACGGGAGGCAGCAGUGGGGAAUAUUGGACAAUGGGCGAAAGCCUGAUCCAGCAAUGCCGCGUGAGUGAUGAAGGCCUUAGGGUUGUAAAGCUCUUUUACCCGAGAUGAUAAUGACAGUAUCGGGAGAAUAAGCUCCGGCUAACUCCGUGCCAGCAGCCGCG